rnacentral:misc_RNA from 1 species
GAUGAAGAAACGUAGCGAAAUGCGAUACUUGGUGUGAAUUGCAGAAUCCCGCGAAUCAUCGAGUUUUUGAACGCAAGUUGCGCCCGAAGCCAUUCGGCCGAGGGCACGUCUGCCUGGGUGUCACGCAUCGUUGCCCCCCCAAACUCCGGUUCGGGCAGGGCGGAAGUUGGCCUCCCGUGCGUGCCUGCGCGCGCGGUUAGCCCAAAAGCGAGUCCUCGGCGACGAGCGCCACGACAAUCGGUGGUUUUUUUACCCUCGUUCCUCGUCGUGCGUGCCCCGUCGCCCGAACGCGCUCUUGCGACCCUUACGCGUCGCCUCGGCGGCGCUCCCAACGCGACCCCAGGUCAGGCGGGACUACCCGCUGAGUUUAAGCAUAUCAAUAAGCGGAGGA